rnacentral:rRNA from 1 species
UAGGGAAUCUUCCGCAAUGGGCGAAAGCCUGACGGAGCAACGCCGCGUGAGUGAUGAAGGUCUUCGGAUCGUAAAACUCUGUUAUUAGGGAAGAACAAAUGUGUAAGUAACUAUGCACGUCUUGACGGUACCUAAUCAGAAAGCCACGUCUAACUACGUGCCAGCAGCCGCGGUAAUCCGUAGGUGGCAAGCGUUAUCCGGAAUCAUUGGGCGUAAAGCGCGCGUAGGCGGUUUUUUAAGUCUGAUGUGAAAGCCCACGGCUCAACCGUGGAGGGUCAUUGGAAACUGGAAAACUUGAGUGCAGAAGAGGAAAGUGGAAUUCCAUGUGUAGCGGUGAAAUGCGCAGAGAUAUGGAGGAACACCAGUGGCGAAGGCGACUUUCUGGUCUGUAACUGACGCUGAUGUGCGAAAGCGUGGGGAUCAAACAGG